GGCACAGUGACUUGGCUGCAUUGUUACUGGAGACAGCAGAGUUGUGCAGUAAUUUGUAUCACAGCAGCUGCUGGAGAGCUGACUCCUCUCCCUCCCAAUAAGAAUCAGCUAUUCUCCAUUGAUGGCUUCAUUUACCACAGCUACAACAUUAUCCUCUAGUUAUCUCUGUAAAUCUGUAAAUCUGGAGUCACUCAAGUAGUUCAUAAAGACCUGUAA
rnacentral:lncRNA from 1 species